rnacentral:lncRNA from 1 species
AUGGAUCUGAGAACGCUGUCUGGGCUUGGUGCCAAGUGCUGGUAUUUCACAGCAGCGACCGCCUCACAGACGGGCUGUGGGAAGCAGGAGGGAGACUCUCUUAGGGUGCCACUACUAUGGAGACACAGCUGGGCUGAACAAGAUUUGCUUCAAACGACAACAAGAGAGACAGAAAGUAUCUGGUUCAACCGCUGCCCAGGCAGGCAGGCACCAGAAGAGCUAGCAGCCAAUCCGGCCAUGCUCGAAGCCAGCUCUGCAGCUCAGCCAAUCAGUGACAUCACUGAUCUUUUGGAAUAUUACUGGGAUAACUGUCCAAAUGAAGUUCCAAGUACUCUAUACAAAUGUCUACAGAUGCACGGCUGGUGGUGUGGCUCAGACGGAGCAAGGGUUACAUCAAGGCUGUUCUCUGGACCGUGCAAACAGUCUAGACCAAUGACCUGCAGCAUCAUGCCCUUUGAAGAAGAGGCAAGUUCGGUCAUGAUGAAGAAAAAUCAAGGCGUACCCCCUUUAACAAUAGGGAGCAGCUCGAGGCUGCAAAGAGGUAAGCAGGGUAGGAAGAAAACGGCAUCUGCUUCCAUGGUUACAGGCCAACUAUGA